UAGCGAAUAACUAGCAGCAGUGUGUGUGAAUGUGGCAACCGAGGUAGACAGGGAGGGGUAGAUAGACUGACCGGACCAGGUUUUUUUUUUGUUGUCUUCGUCCUUUCUUUUUCUUUUCUCUCAGUGCCAAGUGUGUGCUCUUUCUGUGACGCCACGGCGGUAAACUUGCCCGUAGACGUGACCGCCCGGCUGCCGUUGCUUCUCCUCGGGACGAACCGUUGUGAAAACAGCCCAGAAGAAAGAAGAAAAAAAAGGGAGAAACAACAUGGGGCGAUAAUUAAAAAAAAAAAAGGUGUUGUGUUCUGGACCGACGAUGAGUCUCUGGGAGGAUCCGUAAAGCUUAUUUAUUUUUAUUUAUUCCCCUCUUCCCUUUCCCUUCUGUCGCUUUUUUUUGGUUUUAUUUUUGAAAUUGUCUCCUCCCUUCCUCAUUCGGGAGGUUUACUAUUUUUUUCCAAGAAGGGGGAAAAGGCAACGGGAUACGUUACAAGAGGACUGAAGGAUGGACCAAGCCGGCAUCCUGAGAAAGUUUAUCCAGGGGGUGAAGGCCAUGAGCGAGGGGGACGAGGAGAGGGGAGAGGACAACUUCGGCAGCGACUUUAUGCGGUUACGACGGUUGUCGACGAAAUAUCGGACGGAGAAGAUCUACCCCACCAACGUAGGAGAGAGGGAGGAGAAUGUCAAGAAGAACCGAUAUAAAGAUAUACUGCCAUUUGAUCACUCCAGGGUGAAGCUGACGUUAAAAACUACCAAUCAGGACACAGAUUACGUCAAUGCCAACUUCAUCAAGGGUAUGGACGGCCCCGAGGCCUAUAUCGCGACUCAGGGCCCACUACCCAACACUGUGGCCGACUUCUGGAGGAUGAACUGGGAGUACAACGUAGCUGUUAUCGUGAUGGCUUGUCGAGAGUUUGAGAUGGGACGGAAAAAGUGUGAGCGGUAUUUCCCGCUGCUCGGGGAGCAGCCAAUGAGUUUUGGCCCUUUCAAAAUCUCCUGUGAAUCCGAGCAGACCAGAACGGACUACUUUAUCAGGACUCUGACGGUGGAGAAUGAGAACGAAACUCGGAGGAUAACCCAGUUUCAUUACAUGAACUGGCCGGAUCACGACGUCCCCUCGUCUUUUGACUCCAUACUGGAUAUGAUCGGACUAAUGAGAGAAUACCAAGAGAACGACGACGUCCCAAUAUGUGUGCACUGCAGUGCCGGCUGUGGGAGGACGGGGGCUAUCUGUGCUAUCGACUACACAUGGAACCUCCUCAAAGCCGGAAAAAUCCCCGAAGAUUUUAACGUUUUUCGGUUGAUCCAAGAGAUGAGGACGCAACGACACUCCGCCGUGCAGACAAAGGAGCAGUACGAGUUAGUUCAUAAAGCCAUCGCCCAGCUCUUUCAGAAACAACUGCAGCGACUGGAGAGCCCGACCACCAAGAUACAAGAUGGCAUGAUAACAAAAGAAGCGACCCGAGUCUUAAAAUGCAGCGCUAACGACAGCAGUCCAGAUAAAGCAGGCCACCACUCGGAUGACGACAGAUGGGACACGCCUCCUCCGAAACCUCCCCGCGUACGCAGUUCGCAGGCAGAAGGCGACGUGAAGGAGGAGAUACUCCAGCCCCCGGAGCCUCACCCCGUACCUCCCAUCCUCACCCCGUCUCCGCCUUCGGCCUUCCCCACCGUCACCAACGUGCGGCAGGACAACGACCGCUACCACCCCAAACCUGUCAUCCACGUCCUGGCUACCGCACAGAAUAAAGACGCUGACGAGCAGCAGAACCGAUCCGACCGCAGUCCCAACAAGCACACCAGUCCCGCAGAGCCGAAAGACACAGAUCUACCGAGUCAGAAACGGCAGAGUCAGGCCUCAAAAAAUGAUCUCAAUGACAAUUACAGCAACACGUUGACGUCCUCCGCCCAAAGCCAGACUCCCUCCUCGCCCCUCCCCCCGGCUGUCGAAUGUUCCGGCGCUCCCCGGAUUGAGAGGAAGCUGAGCAUCGAGAUCAAAAAAGUGCCGCUGCAGGAGGGACCUCGUAGUUUUGACACGUCCUCCGCCUCCGUCGUGGCGGUGGCAGGCGGAGGAGGAGUAGUAGGAGGAGGAGGAAUAGUAGGAGGAGGAGGAGGAGGAGGAGGAGGAGGCCCGGCCAACAGCGCAGCAGCGCUGCAGAGAACCCACGCCUUCAAAGCCCGCUCCGGCACCUCCCUGCUGACGUCGAGCUCCUCGCUGUCGGAGGACUCGGGCACGGAGGGAGGGGCGGGUGGAUGCGUGGAGGGUCUUGCGGGCCCCCCCGCCCGACCGAACUACCUUCCUAUGACGAGCGAGAAGGGGGAGGCGCCCUGGGGAGAGAGGGCGGAGGCGAAGGCCGGCCACGCGGCGUGGGCCCAGGCGGCCUGCAACAGCCCGGAAAAACAUUUCCCCAAAACCACCUCGUCGUCGUCCUGUGAUCGCGUCGCUCCGUCCUCGUCCUCCCCCUCCUCCCACCUCUCCUCCUCCUGCUCCUCCUCUACCACCUCCUCAACAACACCCACAAGGACUGCCCUUAGUUUCACCAACCCGCUGCACUCCGAUAACUCGGACGAGGAGGUGGGCAGAGAGAUGCUCGGUGGGAAGGAGGGUUGUCGCACUAACAUAUCCACGGCAACGGCCGUGGUGACCACGUCGUCUCACCGCGGAGAGCAGCAGCCAGUCCGAAAGGUGUCGCCCAUGUCCAUCGCGGGGCAGAGCGCUGCAACUUAUGUGUGUUUGUCGCAGCAAGCGGAUUUUAGAACUAAGGAGAGAGAGAGAGAGAGAGAGAGAGAGAAAAAAACAAUCCUAUUUUGUGUGUUUUUAUGUGUGCAUGUUGGAUGGUGAAGGACCGACGCUGCAUGAGACUGAUGAGCACACGUUGGGUCGAGCAGAGCCGCACGGCGCCGCUUUCGCGUCGGUGCGAGCACGCUGUCGUGACCCUGACAUGUCGUUUUGAUCCUCCGGUGUGCACAGAAUGAUGUGGUUCCGCCUCGCUCGAUUUCAAAACCUCCAGAUUCUGAAAUCUUGCCGUGAGAGACUUCUUGCUGUAAUUGGAGCUGACGUGGGGCGGUUGAAGUGGACGCCUGGCUUGGAGCGGGUUUUGAUCUUGAUUUGGGUUCAAGGCUGAAUGAAGUGAGACCUAACUGCAUUUUCUACUUGGAUUUUACUGUGAGGGUGCAUGAUUUAAAUUACAACCAGAAUAAAUAAUCUCUCUGAACAGAAAGAGCCCACUCUUUUGUUUGGGCCGACAAGCUUUUUUUGAAGCACAAAAAGCCUUCAAAACAAACUUAAAUCUGUGAGAAUCAAAUGACGGUUUCCCUCCUAAUGUCUGGCAUCAUGCACUCCGGAGUCAUUUCCAAUAUUCAGAAUGAACAUGUUGGUCUCACAGUCCUGAAGGGGCCUGGUCUGCGUUUUGGUCUGCUUGGCUUUCUGGCUCGUCGUCUCCUGGGGCUCCGGGGGGGGGGGGGGGCUCGCUUUGAGGUUCGGUUCAUGACACCGCUGACGGCUGCUGUUUGUGUGGUGCCGAGGAUCUAACGACCGCUUGUUGCCAAGCGGAAGCUGGUGGCUGCUUGAUCUGUUGUUUGAACCGCCAAUUGGUCUGUCACACUGAAUUAAUGUGGCACGUUGUUUUUGUAGGGCGGCGCACUCGGUGGCAAACUAACUAGAAGUACAAAUAACAACAAAAAUGUUUGCCUCUCCUGGCAAAAGUAAUAAGAGGGCAAUGAAACACAAAACAAUAAUAUAAUAAAUAAUAUUAACAAUCAGUAUUCAAUUAUCUCAUCUAAUUCAUUUUUUCUGCUAUUGACUUUGCGUGCUUCUUGUUUAUUUAAAUCCAUCCCCACCACGGGGCUAAUGACAAAAAAAGCCACUCCUUUUUAGAGUCUCUUCAAAAGCAAUACCUCGACACUUCAUAGCCUCUGAGUUAAUUUGCUCUGUCCUGCUGCCCCCCCCCCCCCGUCCCCCUCUGGGUGAAAGAACAUUUGAUUAAGGGGAGCGACCAGACUCGCUGAUGGUCGACAAUAAGUCAUUGAUACUAAAAGAUUCCUUGGAUGUAAAAAUAUAAAUAUAUAUUUUUUAACUUUAGCUAGACAGUGAAGUAAAGGAGAUCCAACCGAGAGUUAUUGUCAGGCUCCAUAAAGCAUCGCUAUCAGCGCCGAUACAGUUCUCAGUAUUUGGCAUUUGUUCAUCUGAUUCUUGCUGUUACAGAUUGAAUCACUAAUUGUUUACAACCAAUUUUUAAAAAAGGAUGAUCAAAUGUAUUCACGCUUUUCUGGAAAAUUCAGCAGGAACAUAUAUUCAUAAUAUGGAGUUGGCAAAGAAAUAAAUAAGUUAUGUUGAGAACAAUAAAUUAUAAUGGUUCAAAUAUAUUUAACAUUUAACUGCUUUUCAAACUUGUUUCAAUGGAAUGUUCUUGAAAAUAUAAUAAAAUAUAGAUAAUAUAAAUUAAAUAAUAUAUACAGACAGAAUACAGAUAUCUAAUUUAUUUGUUAUAAUUGCUUUACAAGGUGAUUUAACAGAUCAUUAUCAUCCUUUUUGUUUUCUAGAAAUCUAAUAUUAGAGAAAUGGAGCGAAGACCAGUUUGAAGCUUUUCUCCAUUUAUUUUUGAAUGCCGAUCGCUUGCCUCCCUUUUUUUCCCGGAGAGUCAUAGACGUUGCUUCUCAUUUGACCUCUGACCUUUUCUUAAACCCCAGACUGCUGGGACAGCGACGACUCCCCUCCCCCCCUCCCCGCGAGAACCCCCGAGUCCUUCCUGCUGGCCACAGACCACCUGGAAGGGAAGCCGUUGGCCUCGGCCGA